GAUUAAGCCAUGCGAGUCAACGUAGCAAUACGUGGCAUACGGCUCAGUAACACGUAGUCAACAUAACCAAAGGACGUGGAUAAACUCGGGAAACUGAGGCUAAACCGCGAUAGACCAAGAUACCUGGAAUGGUUUUUGAUUAAAAUCUAUAUGGCCUUUGGAUUGGACUGCGUCCGAUCAGGCUGUUGGUGAGGUAAUGGCCCACCAAACCUAUAACCGGUACGGGCUCUGAGAGGAGGAGCCCGGAGAUGGGUACUGAGACAAGGACCCAGGCCCUAUGGGGCGCAGCAGGCGCGAAACCUCUGCAAUAGGCGAAAGCUUGACAGGGUUACUCUGAGUGACUUUCGCUAAGAAAGUCUUUUGACACCUCUAAAAAUGGUGUAGAAUAAGGGGUGGGCAAGUCUGGUGUCAGCCGCCGCGGUAAUACCAGCACCCCGAGUGGUCGGGACGAUUAUUGGGCCUAAAGCAUCCGUAGCCGGCCUUACAAGUCCCCCGUUAAAUCCAACUGCUUAACAGAUGGGCUGCGGAGGAUACUAUAAGACUAGGAGGCAGGAGAGGCAAGCGGUACUCAGUGGGUAGGGGUAAAAUCCGUUGAUCCAUUGAAGACCACCAGUGGCGAAGGCGGCUUGCCAGAAUGCGCUCGAC
rnacentral:rRNA from 1 species